CUCGUCCUUGUGACUGACUAACUUCUCUGCCACAAGUAUUGCACAACAAAAAUCCAUCUCUUGAAUGUAAUCUCCAGUGACGUUUGAGACUUUUUCGUUGUGUGAAUGUUUUCUUGCAGAUACGACACUCAAAACUCUGUUCACUCUUGUGUGCUGAUAUUUUAUGUCGUGUUAACUUGCGUGAUUCUGGAAAUCUCUUGUUACAAACAUCACAUUCAUAAGGUUUGUCUCCAAUGUGUGUUCUUUUAUGUCGAGUUAAACUACUCGGAUCUGAAAAUCUUUUGUUGCAAACAUCACAUUCAUAAGGUUUGUCUCCUGUGUGUGUUCUUUUAUGAACCACUAAAUGGCUCGACUGUGAAAAUAUUUUGUUGCAAACAUCACAUUCAUAAGGUUUGUCUCCAGUGUGUGUUCUUUUAUGUCGAGUUAAAGUACUCGGAUCUGAAAAUCUUUUGUUGCAAACAUCACAUUCAUAAGGUUUGUCUCCUGUGUGUGUUCUUUUAUGAACCACUAAAUGGCUCGACUUUGAAAAUCUUUUGUUGCAAACAUCACAUUCAUAAGGUUUGUCUCCAGUGUGUCUUCUUUUAUGUCGUGCUAAAUUACUACAAUCUGAAAAUCUUUUGUUGCAAACAUCACAUUCAUAAGGUUUGUCUCCUGUGUGUGUUCUUUUAUGAACCACUAAAUGGCUCGACUUUGAAAAUCUUUUGUUGCAAACAUCACAUUCAUAAGGUUUGUCUCCAGUGUGUGUUCUCUUAUGAACCGUUAAGUUGCUAGAGUUUAAAAAUCUUUUGUUGCAAACAUCACAUUCAUAAGGUUUGUCUCCAGUGUGUGUUCUUUUAUGAACCGUUAAGUUGCUUGAGUUUAAAAAUCUUUUGUUGCAAACAUCACAUUCAUAAGGUUUGUCUCCAG